UUGUCAGACCUGGAAACUGAAGUCCUAUAUCCACAGAACAUGUACAGCAAGGGCAAUAGUAGUGGAUGCUUCUCCUCACUGCCCUACCAAUUUACUGCAACCCUAGAAGAGACAACUUCUAGGUGUGAGAUGAUUCAGUCUCCAUUCUUAGUAAAGCCUGGGUGUG
rnacentral:sRNA from 1 species